rnacentral:rRNA from 1 species
UACGUAGGGUGCAAGCGUUGUCCGGAACUAUUGGGCGUAAAGAGCUCGUAGGCGGUCUGUCGCGUCGAAUGUGAAAACCCGGGGCUCAACCCCGGGCCUGCAUUCGAUACGGGCAGACUAGAGUUCGGUAGGGGAGUCUGGAAUUCCUGGUGUAGCGGUGAAAUGCGCAGAUAUCAGGAGGAACACCGGUGGCGAAGGCGGCGACCUGGUCCUAUACUGACACUCAUACACGAAAGCGUGGGGAUCAAACAGG